rnacentral:misc_RNA from 1 species
AUGAUAAUAGAAUAGUUCCUAAGAAGAAAUCAAACACAAACUUAUCAAAGAAAGCAGUUUUACAGAAAGACACCAGAACCGACACCAAUGGGACCAAUUUGUUUCCCACAAACGCUAAUGUACAUUAUAAUCUUUUACAUAUCACUAAGAAUGCCUUAGAAGAGGCCAAAUCAUUUGUAAGACUUGUAAAGAUAGUUUAUUGAUGCUGAAGAUCAAGCCACAAUUUAGCACUCACAUCCACUUGACCUAGGCUGACUGCUGGCUCCAACAUCAAUUGUAUCUGGCAAAUAAAUCUCCUCCUCUUCCCCACUCUUCAGGGCAUUCUUUGCUAUGCAUUGGAAAGCUUCUUCCACAUUAAUGCCUUCUUUGGCAGAUGUCUCAAAGUAUGGGAUAUUCCC